AUAGGCCUGUAAGAAGGGGGUCCCUGGUUCUCACUGACUCCAGGUUCGGGUGGGGAGGGGGUACUGAGAAAGACACGAGCGCCCACGACCUCUGGCCUCCACACGUCUGCACACGUCUGCACACGCACAGGACACGCCCUCACUCACACCCAGCUUGUUUUGCCUCCUGUACCCCUACCCACAGCUGGGUCUGCAGGUUCCCAUCUUGGCUGGGCCGCCCACUGGACCGCCGUCCACUACGCGCCCCUGAACCCCCGGCCCCUGGAACCCGUGUGAACGAACACCCGUGUGUCUGCUCCCCGGCGAGGACAUGUCUGACCCUAACGAACAGAGUGGCGCCGAGGUCGCCAAGCCCAUCCUGACAGCAAAAACCAUCCUGAAGACCAAGCUUUACAGCAAAGCGUUGAAGAGGGCGACAGCACAAGCCUCCCACCCCUCAGAGACAAAGGCCCCAGGCAGCUGCUACUGGACCUCAGAGCGCGACGGGGAGGUGAAGCUGCGCCUGGGCAAGAACUCGGAGAACGAGCCCCCCACCACGGUGCCUGACCUGAUCAUGAGCGCUGCCACCAAGUACUCGCACUGCCUGGCGAUCGGCUCCAAGUACAAGAAGAGCUGGCAGCUGCUCACCUACAUCGAGUACUACGAGGCCUGCCGCCGCGCCGCCAAGGCCUUCCUCAAGGUGGGCCUGGAACGCUUCCACGGCGUGGGUAUCAUGGGCUUCAACUCCACGGAGUGGGUGAUCGCCAACAUUGGAGCUAUCAUGGCAGGAGGCAUCUCUGUGGGCAUCUUGUGCAGUAACUCACCAAAAGUGUGCCAGGUCAUCGCCGAGGCUUCAGAGAUGGACAUCUUCGUGGUGGAUAAUGACAGACAGCUGCAGAAAGUUAACCAGAUCCAGGGCUACCUGAAGCAUCUCAAGGCCAUCAUACAAUACAGAGAAGACAUCCAGGAAGUACAGCCAAAUCUAUACUCGUGGAAAGGGUUCCUGGAGCUCGCAGAUGGCAUCUCGGAUGAAAAACUGGACCAAGUCAUCGACUCGCAGAAGCCUAACCAGUGCUGUGCUCUGGUAUACAACCAGGGCACGACCGGGGCCCCAAAGGCCAUAAUGCUCAGCCACGACAAUAUCACAUGGACCACAGCGGCCACCGUUCAGAGCCUGGAGUUCAAGUGUCCGCCUGAUGGCCAGGAGAUCUUUGUGAGCUACCUGCCGCUCUGCUUCGCGGGGGCCCAGAUCUUGGAUGUGUGGGUGGCCAUCUCCGUGGCUGCAACAGUCUACUUCCCCUCAGCAGAGGCAGGGAAUUGGAGCGGGUCAGCACGAGCCCCUGGCACGGGCUUCCUGACCGAGAUGCUCCGCGACGUCCAGCCCACCACGUUCUGCGGCAUCCCGUGGGUGUGGGACCGCAUGCUGGACAGCCUGAAGACCAAACACCUGGAUGCCACCGCCUUCCGCAGGAGGAUUGACCGCUGGGCCAUGCACAUGGGGCUCAGCACCAAUAGGAGGCGGCUGCUCGGGCAGAUCCACCAGCCGCUGUGCUUCGGCCUGGCCAAGAAGCUGACCUUUGACCCUGCCAGGAAAUUCCUGGGUCUCAGCCAUUGCCAGCAGUUCCUGAACAUGGGCUCGGGGCUGUCGAGGGCCACGGUGGACUUCUUCCUCAGCCUGGACAUCCCCAUCUUUGAGGUGUACGGCUUGAGCGAGUGCACCGGACUGCACUCUCUGUCCAGCCAACAGGCCUACCGGAUCCCCAGCAGUGGGAAGGCACUUCCCAGCUCCCACACAAAGGUGGAAAAGGAGAACCAGGACGGCAUGGGGAACUUGUGUAUAUGGGGCCGCCACAUCUUCAUGGGGUACCUCAACGACAAAGAAGGCACGGAGAAGAAGGUGGACGGCCACGGCUGGCUACACACCAACGACCUGGGCUUCUUGGAUAUCGACAGGUUCCUCUAUGUCAUGGGGAAUAUCAACGAUAUGAUCACACUGAGCUCAGGUGAAGUGAUCAACCCGAAUCCCAUCGAGGAGCGAGUGAAGAUGCGCAUCCCCAUUGUGCGCUAUGUGAUGCUGGUGGGCCAGGAUGCCCCAUACCUGUGCGCCCUCCUCACAAUGAAGUGUCAGAUCAAUCCGGAGACUGGAGAGGCUCGGAGUGCCCUGACCAGUGAGGUUGUGGCCUUCUGCCGGAAGAUGCGGAGCCAGGCCACCUGGUUGGCAGAUGUCCUAUACAACCGUGACCCCAUGGUCACAGAGUUCAUCAGCCAGGGCAUCCAAGACGUGAAUGCAGAGGCACCCUCGGAAGGCACCAAGAUCAUUAAGUGGGUCAUUCUAGACAAUGAUUUCUCUGUUGGCGGCGGGGAGCUUGAGGCCAGACGAAGGCAUCAGAUCUCCUGGGACUGGAGUCACAAGUGGUUGUGAGCUAUCAUAUGGGUGUUGGGAACUGAACCCAGGCUCUGCAGGAGCAACCGGCGCUCUAACCACUGAGCUGUCUCCCAAUGCUGGGGAGGCUGAGACUGGAGAAUCCCUGGUCCUCCCUGGACCAUCAACCCAGACUACAUGGCCAGGACCAGGCCAAUGAACGAUACUGUUUCAAGGGGAGCGGGGGCCCAUGUCCAAGUUGAACAGGACCACUGUGGCCAAGAUAUACCAGGAGGAAAUCGAGAAAUUCUAUGAGAGGGCUUCGAGCUCUUAGCAGCCCUGUGCACCCCAAUCUUCGCCCAGGUGCUGGUAGUUCGUGUUUUACAUCCUGCUGUCAAGGAACAAUCUCUGCAGUGGGGAAAGUGUUCCUUGUGAGGGCCUGGGUGGAAGGCUCUCUAGUGCUGGGAUCUGAAUUGUAAAGGAAUAAUUAAAUGUGUUCACUAAA